UGAUCUUGGAAAGAGAAGGGUCACAGAGCGGUGUGACCUCACAAAGCUUGUAUAUUAUUGAAGAGAGGCUUUUUUAUAUCACCACAUCUCAACUAACACCUCAGUGUUUGUUGGAAGACAUCAUGUAUGUAGUUUUAAAAAUACUAAGUGUCAAAUGAGUGACACAGAACACUCUGUCAUAUCACAGUGCUUUGUGGAUAGAGACAAGGUGGCAUAUGCUAAUAGAAUAUAUUGAUAUUUAUCUUCUUAAAUAUCCAUCUCAUUCUCCCUGAUAGCAUGGGAAGCCUUGCAAGGAUUGUCCUGCCGUUCUUUCAAGCCCUAGCUCUUGGCACAUUGUAGACACAGAUAACUCUGUGCUUUAUGACUGCAGUUGUCAGUUCAACCACAGAGCGUUCAGAGCAGAGAAAGUCUCUGGGGGUUACAUGCAAGGGACUUGAAGUUGGGAAAAAGGCUUUGAAAAAAUGAAGGAGAAAGAUGAAAUGUAUUCCAGGAAACUGGGGAGGGAAUCAUGUUCCAGCAGUGAAGAACAAAGGCAGUUUUUUGGGGAUUUACAUACGCCAUCUCCUACAAAGUUAAAAAAUUUUCUUUUCCUGAAAGACUACAAUCAAGAUACAAACAUGUACAAUG
rnacentral:lncRNA from 1 species